CUGCUAAUUGGAUUCACAUGCCUGAAUUGAGGUUUUCACAUGAGUUCUAGGCCUAGAAACUUCUGUCCAAGUUGCCCCUCUGAUUGGUCAGGACCCAGAAGAUUCUAUUCAUUUUGCCCCUUCAUAGAACAGUAGAGUUGGAAGGGGCCUACAAGGCCAUCAAGUCCAACCCCCUGCUCAAUGCAGGAAUCCGAAUCAAAACAUUCCUGACAGAUUGCUGUCCAGCUGCCUCUUGAAUGCCUCCAGUGUCGGAGAGCCCACUACCUCUCUAGGAGCUCAGGUGUAGGUCCAGCACCUUGGCCCCUUUUGGCUGCAACGCUACUGAGGAAUCUUUUUGGCUUAAAGCUUGGUAUUGAUUGACUACAACUCCAAGCAGCCCAAGCAAGUAUGGCCAAUGGUCUAAACAUCUGGAGGACACCUGGUUGGAAAAGGCUGAUGCCACUGAAAAGAAUACAUGAUCUUCACCUGUUUAAAUAUCGUUCUGUUACCUCCCCUGUAUUGAAUUUGAGAUUGUAAGCUCCUCAGGGUAGGGAUCUGAUCUCUUAAAUUUUGUAAAGCACCAUGUAUACUGAUGGUGCUGUAUAAAUAAAUGAUAUAUUAUCAGA